UGGCUUGUCGCGUCUGCCGUGAAACCCGAGGCUCAACCUCGGGCGUGCGGUGGGUACGGGCAGGCUAGAGUGUGGUAGGGGAGACUGGAACUCCUGGUGUAGCGGUGAAAUGCGCAGAUAUCAGGAAGAACACCGAUGGCGAAGGCAGGUCUCUGGGCCAUUACUGACACUGAGAAGCGAAAGCAUGGGGAGCGAACAGGAUUAGAUACCCUGGUAGUCCAUGCCGUAAACGUUGGGCACUAGAUGUGGGGAACAUUCCACGUUUUCCGCGUCGUAGCUAACGCAUUAAGUGCCCCGCCUGGGGAGUACGGCCGCAAGGCUAAAACUCAAAGGAAUUGACGGGGGCCCGCACAAGCGGCGGAGCAUGCGGAUUAAUUCGAUGCAACGCGAAGAACCUUACCAAGGCUUGACAUGCACCGGACGACUCCAGAGAUGGGGUUUUCUUCGGACUGGUGCACAGGUGGUGCAUGGUUGUCGUCAGCUCGUGUCGUGAGAUGUUGGGUUAAGUCCCGCAACGAGCGCAACCCUCGUUCCAUGUUGCCAGCGCGUAAUGGCGGGGACUCAUGGGAGACUGCCGGGGUCAACUCGGAGGAAGGUGGGGACGACGUCAAAUCAUCAUGCCCCUUAUGUCUUGGGCUUCACGCAUGCUACAAUGGCCGGUACAAAGGGUUGCGAAACUGUGAGGUGGAGCGAAU
rnacentral:rRNA from 1 species